AGUGAACGCUGGCGGUAGGCCUAACACAUGCAAGUCGAACGGCAGCACAGUAAGAGCUUGCUCUUACGGGUGGCGACUGGCGGACGGGUGAGGAAUACAUCGGAAUCUACUUUUUCGUGGGGGAUAACGUAGGGAAACUUACGCUACUACCGCAUACGACCUACGGGUGAAAGCAGGGGAUCUUCGGACCUUGCGCGAUUGAAUGAGCCGAUGUCGGAUUAGCUAGUUGGCGGGGUAAAGGCCCACCAAGGCGACGAUCCGUAGCUGGUCUGAGAGGAUGAUCAGCCACACUGGAACUGAGACACGGUCCAGACUCCUACGGGAGGCAGCAGUGGGGAAUAUUCGACAAUGGGCGCAAGCCUGAUCCAGCCAUACCGCGUGGGUGAAGAAGGCCUUCGGGUUGUAAAGCCCUUUUGUUGGGAAAGAAAAGCAGCAGGUUAAUACCCCGCUGUUCUGACGGUACCCAAAGAGUAAGCACCGGCUAACUUCGUG
rnacentral:rRNA from 1 species